GACGAACGCUGGCGGCGUGCUUAACACAUGCAAGUCGAACGGAAAGGCCCUGCUUUUGUGGGGUGCUCGAGUGGCGAACGGGUGAGUAACACGUGAGUAACCUGCCCUUGACUUUGGGAUAACUUCAGGAAACUGGGGCUAAUACCGGAUAGGAGCUCCUGCUGCAUGGUGGGGGUUGGAAAGUUUCGGCGGUUGGGGAUGGACUCGCGGCUUAUCAGCUUGUUGGUGGGGUAGUGGCUUACCAAGGCUUUGACGGGUAGCCGGCCUGAGAGGGUGACCGGCCUCAUUGGGACUGAGAGACGGCCCAGACUCCUACGGGAGGCAGCAGUGGGGAAUAUUGCACAAUGGGCGGAAGCCUGAUGCAGAAACGCCGCGUGCGGGAUGACGUCCUUCGGGUUGUAAACCGCUUUCGCCUGUGACGAAGCGUGAGUGACGGUAAUGGGUAAAGAAGCACCGGCUAACUACGUG
rnacentral:rRNA from 1 species